GUAACCUGCGGAAGGAUCAUUG
rnacentral:rRNA from 1 species